rnacentral:lncRNA from 1 species
GUUACCCUAAAUGUCUCUUUCUGUGGAGCUAUCAGCGCUUAAUUUUCAUUUUCACCUUUUCAGCUUAUCAGCUUAUCAGUCUCAUGCCAUUAAAACCCAAUUGCUGAUGCCAGAGUUUCUGUUCCAUGUAGGACUGCUGUAUUUUCUUCCCUUCUCACUCUAGCAGCUGGAUUAACCAGCAUCUCACACCUCAGAACUGCCGCCAAGUCACCUGAUUCUCUGGCAGUUGGAAUCUGAAAGUGAUUCCCAUUUAUCGAGCACUUCCUGUAUACCCAGCAUUGUGUAAGCACAUCCUGGGCUUUAUCUCCUCCAGUCUUCACAACAACACUACUUUGCCAAAGGAACUAUCUUUACCCUUAUUGUACCAGUGAACAGGGAACAUCCAGAGAAGUCGCAGAAGUUUCCAGUUCACACAGUGAGAGCAGAGGUUUUAUUGACCCCAGAGAUCAGACACUGUCCAGCACAACACAGCUUACGGUUUCCACUCGCGUGACUCAAUCCUCCCACACUUGGCACCAACAUGACUUUGCUGUUUCAGAAACUUGUUGUCCAGGAAGAUGAAGAUUCCAAUAAUUCUGUUGUUUGUUCCAGGAACUUUCUGAGAAUCCAUUUAUCGGAACAAUAGACUACUUGACCAGCCCACAUCAGGGCGAACAGGUCUUUCUCAGAACGCUCACUUCCAAACCUCACCUGGCUGUGGGAAUCAGACCUGCAGCAUACUGUCUCAAAGGGUGCCCAUUGUCAGUCAGGGCCCCGCUUUGAAAAGCCCAUGCCAACCAGACCCCUAAAACACUAUAAAUAUCCUACCUUUGACACACUGCUUCCCUCUCUGUGAUGUUACUAGAACUGGCAAUGUCGUGAUCUCCCCAACCACAGCAAGCAAUGCAUGCUUCAUCCACAGGUUAUUCCAACAUCUCUUCCAAGAGUUGGCAGUCAGUCCCUGGUUUCUCAUGUAUCAAGUGUGUGUUCCCAGUGUGCAUCCAUCUACUCUUCAGGUCCCUUGAACAAGUGAAACUUCACAGGUAUCU